AAAAAAAGCAGUUGGGAACACCUGUCAACAGGUCUGUUCAGUCCCGUCCUCUUUACGUCUUAUUUAUAUUACCGGUGGUUGGCAACGCCAAGACUAAAAGGGAAUGCGAGAAGAAAACAAAAGAAGGGGAAAACAGCUGAUGCUCAGAACACAACGGCAAAACAAAAUUAUAAUCACGUUGUGCCUGGAUUGCUGUUUUUAGGGGAAACAAAUAAUAAUAAACUAAUUUGCCGCGGGAAAAUGGGCAGCAGAGGAAAGAUUCAGUUUAAAUUGCUGUAAACACUUGGAGAAAUAUACGAAAACACUGGACCGCACAAAAAACGCGUCCACUUUUGCUGACAAUUUCUA